UGGGUGCUGGAGGGUGCUUUCUUGGCCGUUCCAAGCUUUUCAGGUGAUUAAUUUUUCUGGACUUGCUAAAAACAAAAUUGCUCCCGUGCAAGUUUCCCCCAACACUGACUUCAGCUGACUGCCUGAGGUAAUAGAAAAAUAAAAUUCUGUAGAAAUCAAAUGUACAGGCUGAGAAGUAAUGAGGAUAAGCAAAUUGUAUCCCUAAUGCAUGACAGAUGGCAGCAGUGGGGCAGUCUGACAGAAUUGCGUCUGACACCAAGAAUGAAUGAAGCAAAAGUGUGUCACUGAAUUUCCCUAUGGGGCUUUUGAAGAUCUCCAAAAGGAGACUCUGCAACCUCUCUGGGCAACCUGUUCCAGUGUUUGGUCAUCUGUAAAGAGUUUCUUCCUAAUGUUCAGUUACUUUUCCUCUUCUCUCAAUACAGACACGAAAAGAUAUUAUAUUGGAUAUUUCUGUAUAUGAUUUUUGAACAUUUUUUAAAUUCUAUUUCCUUUAAUGUUCUUCAGAAAAAGAAAAGACACACAAAAACUAUUCUUUGAGUAGAAUAGUGAUCACAGUGAUUUCAAUCAAUAUUAAAACAUAUCUAUUGUUACUGAAAUGACUCAGUGGUUUGACUUGAUUUAUUUAAAUUCAAAUAAAGCACAGAUCAAAUCUUUAUAUUAAAAAUGGACUCAUCAUUACAAACGACUUAAAUAACUUAGAUUUGUCAAUUUUAAUUCAUAAUUUGCAGACAAAGUUCCAUGCAAAUAGACAUAACAUAAUAGAAUAAAGAAACUUGUAAGCAAUGUUUCAAGGUAAAAUCUUAAUAUGAGAAUUAUUAAUGGUAAGACUGCAAAGACAGAAUUCUUUUAAAACAGCUGAUAACCAAAAGGAUAAUACACUUUUCCUGUAAAUAAUUGAAUAAUUUAUUUGCGUAAAUUUAUAUAUAUACACACAUGCCACAAUCUGCCAAACACAAUGUAAAAUAUUUUUUUUAAUGUGAGAUAUUUGCUUAACUUUGUCUGUACUUGUUAAUUUUGCUUAAAUACGGAAGCUAGAGGGCCAAACUAUGUAAAGACAGGACUUAUAUAGCAGACUGGCAGUAAUGGACAUUUAUGCACUUGAUCACCACUGAUUUCACCAGUGGAAACUGCUUAUUCCUUUCAGAUUUCCGCAAGUUACUUAUUUUUAUUGUAAAAUCUGUUUUCAUUGUACAUUUCAGUGACUUUGAUUUCCAGAUUUUGUCUCCAGUUGGCUUUGAUUUCCAGAUUUUGUCUCUAGUUAUUUCUUUCUCUAAGAAUUAAUGUGCCACAGAGUAACUGGGUUUUGGCCUAGUGGCAUGAGAGUUCACAUUCAUGCUAUUUAUACACUAUAAACAAGUCACCUGUCAGGGUUUUUUUUAAUAAAGUACACAGUCCUAACUCUCAUCUCUUAGCAAGGCAUAUUACUGGAUCUCUAUUCCCAUUUGUGACUUUUCCACAUCCUUUUCAAACAUCUCUGUUCCAAAUACUUGACAGUGUACUUCCAUCUGCCUGCCUACUCAGCUUAUUUCGUUACUUAUUUAUUGUAAUUACCUGUGAUUUUAUGAGUCAACCAUUAGCCUUUACCCAGAAUUUUUAGAAUGUUCUGAGUUGGGAGAGAUCCACAGGGAUCAUAAACUCCAAAUUCACAGACAACUACCCCUACAUCUGAGAGCUCUGUCCAAACACUUCCGGAACUCCAGCAGCUCAGUGCCAUUACCACUGCCCUGGGGAGUCUGUUCAGUACCCAACACCCUCUGGUGCAGAAUCUUUCUCUACCACCUAACCUGACCCACCCCUGACAGAUCCAUGCUGUGUCCUGCCACUGUCACCAGAGCUCAGUGUUGCCCCUCUGCUCCCCCACUGAGGAGCUGCAGCCGCCAUGAGGCCUCCCGUCAGCUUCCUCUGUUUGGGCUGAACAAAUCUCACAGAAUCACAGAAUCACAGAAUGGCCCAGGUUGGAAAGGAGACCUUAAGGGUCAUGAAUCUCCAGCCCCCCCGCCACAGGUAGGGCCACCAACCUGCCCAUUUAAUACUAGACCAGGGUGCCCAGGAUUGCCCAUGCAGUCUGGCCUUGAACACCUCCAGGGACAGGGCAUCCACAACCUCU